rnacentral:tRNA from 1 species
GCCUGGGUGGCUCAGUCGGUUGAGUGUCCAACUUCAGCUUGGGUCAUGAUCUCGCGGUCUGUGAGUUCAAGCCCCGCGUCGGGCU